rnacentral:lncRNA from 1 species
GCUCUUCAUUUUCUGUUUCAUUGGAUUUCUUAUUGAGUUGAGUAGUGGAUUUGAGGGCGAUUGUCCUCUUCUUCUUGACAUCUUCUUCUUGAUGUUGUUUCAUGCUUAGCUCAUGUAUCAUUAGUGAUCCUAGAAGCUCCUCCAAGGGUAAAACAUUCACAUCUUUGGCUUCUUGGAUUGUGGUCACUUUGGCCUUCCAAGUCCUUGGUAAAGAUCUAAG